rnacentral:rRNA from 1 species
UUCGGAUCGUAAAACUCUGUUAUUAGGGAAGAACAAAUGUGUAAGUAACUAUGCACGUCUUGACGGUACCUAAUCAGAAAGCCACGGCUAAUUACGUGCCAGCAGCCGCGGUAAUACGUAGGUGGCAAGCGUUUUCCGGAAUUAUUGGGCGUAAAGCGCGCGUAGGCGGUUUUUUAAGUCUGAUGUGAAAGCCCACGGCUCAACCGUGGAGGGUCAUUGGUAACUGGAAAACUUGAGUGCAGAAGAGGAAAGUGGAAUUCCAUGUGUAGCGGUGAAAUGCGCAGAGAUAUGGAGGAACACCAGUGGCGAAGGGGACUUUUUGGUCUGUAACCGACGCUGAUGUGCGAAAGCGUGGGGAUCAAACAGGAUUAGAUACCCUGGUAGUCCACGCCGUAAACGAUGAGUGCUAAGUGUUAGGGGGUUUCCGCCCCUUAGUGCUGCAGCUAAGCGCAUUAAGCACUCCCGCCUGGGG